rnacentral:rRNA from 1 species
UCCUGACCCGUUUNUAAGCACGGACCAAGGAGUCUAACAUAUGUGCAAGUCAUUGGGCGAACUAAACCCAAAGGCGCAAUGAAAGUGAAGGGCCUCCCUCGAGGAGGCCCGAGGGCCGAUCAGUCCUCCGCCCUCGUUUCCAGCGGGGGCGCUGGCUGCGCAGGCUCGGGACUUGCACACCCCACCGUGGGUGGUGAGUACCAAGAGCAGACAUGUUGGGACCCGAAAGAUGGUGAACUAUGCCUGGCCAGGACGAAGCCAGAGGAAACUCUGGUGGAGGUCCGUAGCGAUUCUGACGUGCAAAUCGAUCGUCGGAGCUGGGUAUAGGGGCGAAAGACUAAUCGAACCAUCUAGUAGCUGGUUCCCUCCGAAGUUUCCCUCAGGAUAGCUGGUGCUCGCAACAGAGUUUCAUCCGGUAAAGCGAAUGAUUAGAGGUCUUGGGGACGAAACGUCCUCAACCUAUUCUCAAACUUUAAAUGGGUGAGAGGUCGGGCUUGCUUGACUGAAGCCCCGACAGUGAAUCUGGAGUGCCUAGUGGGCCAUUUUUGGUAAGCAGAACUGGCGCUGUGGA